GAUCCUGGCUUAGGAUGAACGCUAGCUACAGGCUUAACACAUGCAAGUCGAGGGGCAGCAGAUCGAAAGCUUGCUUUGAUGCUGGCGACCGGCGCACGGGUGAGUAACGCGUAUCCAACCUUCCCUAUAGUAGAGAAUAGCCCGGCGAAAGUCGGAUUAAUGCUCUAUGUUGUAUUUAGAAGACAUCUGAAGAAUACCAAAGGUUUACCGCUAUAGGAUGGGGAUGCGUCUGAUUAGGUAGUAGGCGGGGUAACGGCCCACCUAGCCGACGAUCAGUAGGGGUUCUGAGAGGAAGGUCCCCCACAUUGGAACUGAGACACGGUCCAAACUCCUACGGGAGGCAGCAGUGAGGAAUAUUGGUCAAUGGACGGAAGUCUGAACCAGCCAAGUAGCCGUGCAGGAUGACGGCCCUAUGGGUUGUAAACUGCUUUUAUAUAGGGAUAAAGUCGGGGACGUGUCCCCGUUUGUAGGUACUAUAUGAAUAAGGACCGGCUAAUUCCGUGCCAGCAGCGGC
rnacentral:rRNA from 1 species